rnacentral:lncRNA from 1 species
UUUGAGGUGAAGUUUCAACAGGACUUGCAGAUUCUUUUUUCAUUGUCUUGAAAAUAAUCUACCAUUGAGGAAGCCCAGAUAACAGGCUGGCUCAGUGGAGGAGAACUGAGGUGCCAAGCGAAAAGACUUGCCAACUGCCGCACACAGAAAUGAGGCUUUCCAGAUCAAACCAGCCCUGGUCAACCAGCCACCUGGUCACAAACAUGAGGAAGCCCAGGUGGAGCAGAGAUGACUGCCUUUUCACUUAACUGUGUCCUCAUAUGGAAGAGAGGAGAAAAGAGGAGAGGAGGGGAGAGGCAGCAAUACUAAACUGAUACACAAAGGAUCCCCGUACUUCAUCAAAAUAUCAAUGUUGUCCAUGACACACAAAGAACCCAGCUGUAGUUUAAUUCAGCAUCACAGUCCCAACAUGUUUUAAAACAUGUUCCAGCUUUUGGUCCCAGGAUUAUUCAACCUAGCUCAUAAAAGAAAACAAUAUUGCAUUUCUAAGUAUUGGCUCCUAGAAUUGGCAAGUUUAGUCAAGAAAAGCUGGAAUGCCGUUAAAACAACACCCUGUCAUCUUUCAAUCAGUCCUUAGCUGAAGUUAAAAUCCCACUCAUUCUGCAUGAUCCAGCCUCUGUAGCAUAGAGUGAGUAGCCCCUUAACAAGAACCAAAAUGGAGGGUACGGAUGAGGCUCAGAUCGUCACCACCUGGAGAAUAGAGACAGUGACUGAGUCACCAGGAAAUCUGUCCCCUGCUCAUCCCAGAAUCCCCGAGCUUUGACUUUUUAAGAGAACAUGUGACAGAUAAUGCCAUCUGAGAAGGAUUGCCUCCUUUACUGUAUGUUUUCCACUGAGAUGAAGAUUUUGGUCAUUUCCUCAUUCAUGUUCCUGCUUUUCAAAACCCAAGCAAGAAAGGAAACUUCUACAGUGACUUUCUCAUUAUGAAAUCUUAGCAUUCACUAGUCGGCCAUAAUGGAAAACCAGCCAAAUGGACACAUAUACACUGGUCUGUACCCGCAGAGAAAGAAAUGCAAAUCUCUGUGAUCAGAAAACUAUCCUAUCUUGUACAUUGUUAAAAGUCUGCCUCCAAAAAGUUUACUUCUGGAAUACUGUAAUUGAAUAGAAUCAGGGAUCCUACCUGUGUCCUUCAACUUUCACAUCUUGUCUACUCAAGUAAGGGUUGAAUUUGCAUGACUAUAUCUAAGGUUCGAGGGCUUACCUGUUGGCAGUAGACCCAGUAGUCUAUGAAUGGAAAUGGGCAAACCUGUGACCUCCCAAAACUUUAAUAUGAAAGUUUUGUUUGUGUAUACUCAUGGCAUUAUUCUUUUAAUAAAGAGAUAAUCUAUAUAGUUUUCUUUUUUAAAAGAUACUUUUAUUUCUUUAUUGUUGGGAACUGACACAGCUAAUUUCUUUCUGAAGAGGUUCUUUGGUUGAGAAUGG